AGUAGUUUGAUCCUGGCUCAGAACGAACGCUGGCGGCAGGCCUAACACAUGCAAGUCGAGCGCGCCCUUCGGGGUGAGCGGCGGACGGGUGAGUAACGCGUGGGAACGUGCCCUUUUCUACGGAAUAGUCUCGGGAAACUGGGGGUAAUACCGUAUACGCCCUUCGGGGGGAAAGAUUUAUCGGAGAAGGAUCGGCCCGCGUUGGAUUAGGUAGUUGGUGGGGUAAUGGCCUACCAAGCCGACGAUCCAUGGCUGGUUUGAAAGGAUGAUCAGCCACACUGGGACUGAGACACGGCCCAGACUCCUACGGGAGGCAGCAGGUGGGAAUCUUAGACAAUGGGCGCAAGCCUGAUCUAGCCAUGCCGCGUGAGCGAUGAAGGCCUUAGGGUUAGUAAAGCUCUUUCAGGGGGGAAGAUAAUGACUGUACCCCCAGAAGAAGCACCGGCUAACUACGUG
rnacentral:rRNA from 1 species